rnacentral:rRNA from 1 species
CUACGGGGUGCUCCAGUGGGGAAUAUUGCACAAUGGGCGAAAGCCUGAUGCAGCAACGCCGCGUGAGGGACGACGGCCUUCGGGUUGUAAACCUCUUUUAGCAGGGAAGAAGCGAAAGUGACGGUACCUGCAGAAAAAGCACCGGCUAACUACGUGCCAGCAGCCGCGGUAAUACGUAGGGUGCAAGCGUUGUCCGGAAUUAUUGGGCGUAAAGAGCUCGUAGGCGGUUUGUCGCGUCUGCUGUGAAAAUCCGAGGCUCAACCUCGGACCUGCAGUGGGUACGGGCAAACUAGAGUGCGGUAGGGGAGAUUGGAAUUCCUGGUGUAGCGGUGGAAUGCGCAGAUAUCAGGAGGAACACCAAUGGCGAAGGCAGAUCUCUGGGCCGUAACUGACGCUGAGGAGCGAAAGCGUGGGGAGCGAACAGGAUUAGAUACCCGCGUAGUC